rnacentral:rRNA from 1 species
GUGAGUAAUAUAUCGGAACGUGUCCUGUAGCGGGGGAUAACCUAUCGAAAGAUGGACUAAUACCGCAUACGACCUACGGGUGAAAGCGGAGGACCGCAAGGCUUCGCACUAUAGGAGCGGCCGAUAUCGGAUUAGCUAGUUGGUGAGGUAAAAGCUCACCAAGGCGACGAUCCGUAGCUGGUCUGAGAGGACGACCAGCCACACUGGAACUGAGACACGGUCCAGACUCCUACGGGAGGCAGCAGUGGGGAAUUUUGGACAAUGGGCGCAAGCCUGAUCCAGCCAUGCCGCGUGAGUGAAGAAGGCCUUCGGGUUGUAAAGCUCUUUCGGCGGGGACGAAAUGGUCCGUGCUAAUA